CUGGAGUGCAAUAGAGCGAUCAUGGCUCACUGCAACCUCUGCCCCCCGGGUUCAAGCGAUUCUCCUGCCUCAGCCUCUCAAGUAGCUGGGAUUACAAGUGCCCACCACCACGCCCAGCUAAUUUUUGUAUUUUUAGUAAAGAUGGGGUUUCACCACAUUGGCCAGGCUGGUCUCUAACUCCUGACCUCACGUGAUUCAUCCAUCUCAGCCUCCCAAAGUGCUGGGAUUACAGGCAUGAGCCACUGUGCCUGGCCUAUACUUAUAUUUUCUUCUGUGAUUUUAAUAUUUUAGUGUUUAUGUUUUGGUCUAUGAUCCAUUUUGAGUAAAUUUUUAUAUUUGGUAUAAGCCACCAGUGGGGCUUCUCUGCUGUAAAGGAGAUAAAGGACAUGGAAAGGAAUGGCUUUGGAGUCCAACAGGCCAUUGUCCUGGUAAGCCUUUUACUGGCUAUGUGAUCUUGAGGACCUUAUUUCACCUGAGCUUGUUUUUCAUUUGUUGAGUGGGGCUGUUAUUGAGGAGUCAGUAAGCGAAGUGAAUGACAGCACCUGGGGCACUGCUAGCACACUGGACCCAUUUCAUAGAUUGAUGUGCUGUAACAGCCCAGGAGGGUCUCACUCGGCCACCCUAGCAGAAAUGCAGUGCCACAAUCAUGGCUUAUAGCAGCCUCGACCUCCUGGGCUCAAGCAAUUCUCCCCCCUCAGCCUCCCAAGUACCUGAGACUACAGGUGUGUGCCACCAUGUUUUUUUUUUUUUUUUUUAAUUAUUUUUUGUAGAGAUGAGGGUCUCACUCUGUUACCCAGGCUGGUCUCCCCACUCCUGGCCUCAAGUAAUCCUUCCUCCCUCAGUCUCCCACAGUGCUGGGAUUACAGGUGGAAACCUGCACCUGGCCUCUUCCUAACUUUUCAUUGUGAACAUCCAAAAAACUACAAACGUUGAAAUCAUCUUAUUAUAUUGCUGACUCUGGAUUAAUCCGUAUCUUCUACCUCCAUAACACUAUUUCUGAUCUGGGAAAGGGCAGCUUUUCCCCCCGCCCUUCUUUUUUUUUUUUUUUUUUUUUUUGAGACGGAGUUUUGCUUGUCUCCCAGGCUGGAGUGCAAGGGCGUGAUCUCGGCUCACUGUAAUCUCCGCCUCCUGGGUUCAAGCUAUUCUCCUGCCUCAGCCUCCUGAGUAGCUGGGAUUACCAGUGCCCGCCACCACGCCCAGCUGUUUUUUUUAGUAGAGAUGGGGUUUCUCCAUGUUAGCCAAGCUGGUAUCGAACUCCUGAACUCAGGUCAUCUACCCGCCUCAGCCUCCCAAAGUGCUAGGAUUACAGGUGUGGGCCACCGUGCCCGGGGCCUAGUUUUGUAUUUUUAGCAGAGACGGGGUUUCACCAUGUUGGCCAGGCUCGUCUUGAUCCACCCAUCUUGGCUUCCCAAAGUGUUGCGAUUACAGGUGUUAGUCACCGUGCCCAGCCUCCUUCCUAUUUAAUGACUUCUGCCCCUACUUCCUGCUUUCAUCAUUGCAGUAAGAAUGCACUGGUCUAACACUUCAACCCGGCUGUCUUUAGCCAGAGGCAGAGCUUUGAAACCUGGGAAUUUACUGCUUGGAAAUGGGAUGGAAUUCUAAACAUUUCCCUUUUGAGGGUUUAUUCACAUGAAUCCUGGGCCCCUAGUCUUAGGGAGCUGGAAGGCCGUAUUUCUGGAACAGGUGUUCACUACUUCCGUUUAUCGGGUCUCAGCCAAGUAGACCUGGAGCUGCUCCCUAGCAGAAUGUGGUGCACUCUUCUGGGCGCCGCCUCCUCUCCUCCUCUUCCUAUCUCUCCUCCAACAUCCAGCUUCCAUGCUACCCUUUCCAGAAACAUUUCCAAUUCCCAUCAGCUAGGUUUUCUUUCAUGGAUUCCCUCUUGCAUUCCUUGCAUAGAUCACUUGGUGCUUUGUACUUUGUCAUGCUGUCUUCUAGACCUUAAGCUGGUUAGGUUGAGGGCAGGGCUGCAUGCUGUUCAUGUGUGCUCUGCCUGGCCUGGCACAGAUGUAGCUGCUCCAUGGAUAUCUGCGGGGUCACUGAGCUGAAGCAGGUGGAUGCUGGAUGCUUGAUACUAGAUACAUUUUCUGGGGCUGGCUCUGAUUAAUGCUGAGUGAGUUCACCUCACAUUAAGAUGCUGGUAAGGUGGCUCAUGCCUGUAAUCCCAGCAAUUUGGGAGGCCAAGGUGGAGGAUCACUUGAGUCCAGGAGUUCGAGACCAGACUGGGUAACAUAGCAAGACCCUGUCUCUAUAAAAAUUUUAAAAAGUCAGCCAGGCAUGAUGGUACACACCUUUGAGUCCCAGCUACUAGGGAGGCUGAGGUAAGAGGACUGCUUCAGCCCAUGAGUUUGAGGCUACAGUGAACUACAAUUGUGCCACUGCAUUCCAGCCUGGGUGACGAGACUGUCUUAAAAAAAAAAGAUGCUGGUUGUUUUCAGACUAAAAUAGUAGCAACAGGUCAACGUAUCUGAAAUCCUUUAGCAGUCAUAUAUGGUUAGUGUAAAUCUCUGUGAUAAAAGAAAGAUCUGGAAUUGAUACCAAAGCAGCUCAGUACUUUUUAGUGUACUAACACAUUUGUUUUAACAACUUGUUCACAGCUACUGCAAUGUUCAGAUGGAGGAUCAAUAAUCUCUCCAUUCUUUGAGCAUCUAGCAUAUUACUGGACUCAUGUGUAAUCUCUCUCAGCCUUCUAGGUUUUAUUUCCACACAUUUUCCUUCCCUUCAACCCGAUUCCAACUGACUUCUUUGUAUUCAGUUAGCAAACAGGAGUGUUCCCCUAGCUUCAUCUUCUCUGUUUUUAAAAGACGGAGUCUUUGGAGUGCAGUGGUGAGAUCCUGGCUAACUGCAACCUCCACCAGGAUCUGAUUCUCCUGCCUCAGCCUCCCAAGUAGCUGGGACGGCAGGUGCCCACCACCACGCCCUGCUGAUUUUUAGUAGAGAUGGGGGUUUCACCAUAUUGGCCAGGCUGGUCUUGAACUCCUGACCUCGUGAUCUGCCUGCCUUGGCCUCCCAAAAUGUUGGGAUUAUAGGCGUGAGCCACCAUGCCUGGCAAGUCUUGUUUUUUCCAAGAAGUUACUUGGGACUUAGGCAGAUAUGAUCCGUCUUCUUAGGUCCUCCUUCUCAUCCCUGUAAGAUGAAGGUGAUUGGAAGACCAUGAGGUCAUCCUUAAGGGGUCCUGUAUCAAGGUGUUAAGUAGGUUAUCACUUCCACCUUGACUGUUAGCUGGUACCUGCAGUACUUUUUCCCAGAACUUUGGAUAAAUUCACCAAGAUCUACUUGUGAAUACAUUAUACGUAGUAGAUUAAAGAGGCUAUAAGCUAAUGCUUUCACUUUUUCCUCUGAAUCCUAAGCAUUAGGCACUUAAAACGGGUGUACUCCAAGACAAAGAUGUGUUAUCAAGUGAAACAAAGUCAGGGUGUCUGUCUCACACAGUUUAUUUAACAAUAGGUAAUAAGAAAUCAAAUUUAACAGUCUAUACAGUGAUCCAAAG
rnacentral:lncRNA from 10 species